rnacentral:tRNA from 1 species
GCGGGUGUGGCGGAAUGGUAGACGCCGGGGACUUAAAAUCCCCUGUCCUCUGGACGUGUGGGUUCGAGUCCCACCACCCGCA